CCUACGGGCGGCUGCAGUGGGGAAUAUUGCACAAUGGGCGCAAGCCUGAUGCAGCCAUGCCGCGUGUGUGAAGAAGGCCUUCGGGUUGUAAAGCACUUUCAGCGGGGAGGAAGGCGUUAAGGUUAAUAACCUUGGCGAUUGACGUUACCCGCAGAAGAAGCACCGGCUAACUCCGUGCCAGCAGCCGCGGUAAUACGGAGGGUGCAAGCGUUAAUCGGAAUUACUGGGCGUAAAGCGCACGCAGGCGGUCUGUCAAGUCGGAUGUGAAAUCCCCGGGCUCAACCUGGGAACUGCAUUCGAAACUGGCAGGCUAGAGUCUUGUAGAGGGGGGUAGAAUUCCAGGUGUAGCGGUGAAAUGCGUAGAGAUCUGGAGGAAUACCGGUGGCGAGGGCGGCCCCCUGGACAAAGACUGACGCUCAGGUGCGAAAGCGUGGGGAGCAAACAGGAUUAGAUACCCUAGUAGUC
rnacentral:rRNA from 1 species